CCUACGGGAGGCAGCAGGGGGGAAUAUUGCACAAUGGGCGAAAGCCUGAUGCAGCGACGCCGCGUGAGGGAUGACGGCCUUCGGGUUGUAAACCUCUUUCAGCAGGGAAGAAGCGAAAGUGACGGUACCUGCAGAAGAAGCGCCGGCUAACUACGUGCCAGCAGCCGCGGUAAUACGUAGGGCGCAAGCGUUGUCCGGAAUUAUUGGGCGUAAAGAGCUCGUAGGCGGCUUGUCACGUCGGGUGUGAAAGCCCGGGGCUUAACCCCGGGUCUGCAUUCGAUACGGGCUAGCUAGAGUGUGGUAGGGGAGAUCGGAAUUCCUGGUGUAGCGGUGAAAUGCGCAGAUAUCAGGAGGAACACCGGUGGCGAAGGCGGAUCUCUGGGCCAUUACUGACGCUGAGGAGCGAAAGCGUGGGGAGCGAACAGGAUUAGAUACCCUGGUAGUCCACGCCGUAAACGGUGGGAACUAGGUGUUGGCGACAUUCCACGUCGUCGGUGCCGCAGCUAACGCAUUAAGUUCCCCGCCUGGGGAGUACGGCCGCAAGGCUAAAACUCAAAGGAAUUGACGG
rnacentral:rRNA from 1 species